GCUCCGGUAGCUCAGUUGGUAGAGCAGGUGACUCUUAAUCAUCAGGUCCACAGUUCAAGUCUGUGUCGGAGUAC
rnacentral:tRNA from 7 species